CCUACGGGGGGCAGCAGUGGGGAAUAUUGGACAAUGGGCGCAAGCCUGAUCCAGCCAUGCCGCGUGGGUGAUGAAGGCCUUAGGGUUGUAAAGCCCUUUCGGCGGGGAAGCGGUACCCGCAGAAGAAGCCCCGGCUAACUUCGUGCCAGCAGCCGCGGUAAUACGAAGGGGGCUAGCGUUGCUCGGAAUCACUGGGCGUAAAGCGCACGUAGGCGGAUCGUUAAGUCAGGGGUGAAAUCCUGGAGCUCAACUCCAGAACUGCCUUUGAUACUGGCGACCUUGAGUUCGGGAGAGGUGAGUGGAACUGCGAGUGUAGAGGUGAAAUUCGUAGAUAUUCGCAAGAACACCAGUGGCGAAGGCGGCUCACUGGCCCGUCUGACGCUGAGGUACGAAAGCGUGGGGAGCAAACAGGAUUAGAUACCCUUGUAGUC
rnacentral:rRNA from 1 species